CCGCCAUGUUUAUGGUACUUUGAUUUGUCAGUGAUGGGAAACAUACAGAAGUGGAAUCAUCAUCAUUAUCAUCAUCAUCUCUACAAGAGAGAAGUUUCCCCGGACUCCAGAGUUGGUCUGCUAGACUGGAGGACAUGCACACACACACUACAAUUCCAGGGAGAAACUAUUUAGCAGAAUGGUUGGCCUCUUCAACAAAUGUGAAGACAGGUACAGACAACAUCCUCCUGGAAGCAAGAAAAAUGCUUACGCUCGAAGUCUGAAUUCCACCAUUUGAAAUGCAUGUCUUUGGAUUAUGAAGAAAAUGUAUGGGUUUUCCAGCAUUCCCCCACCGCCCCCCAGUGAAUAUGCCUUAGGAGUCCAACUCCUGAUUUUAACUCAGGUCAUGAUCUCGUGGUUCCUGGGAUUGAACCCUGAAUCUGUGUUGACAAUAAGGAGCAUUCAUGGGAUUUUCUCUCUCUACCCCUCCCCCGCUGGC